rnacentral:rRNA from 1 species
AUUGAACGCUGGCGGCAGGCCUAACACAUGCAAGUCGAACGGUAACAGGAAGCAGCUUGCUGCUUUGCUGACGAGUGGCGGACGGGUGAGUAAUGUCUGGGAAACUGCCUGAUGGAGGGGGAUAACUACUGGAAACGGUAGCUAAUACCGCAUAACGUCGCAAGACCAAAGAGGGGGACCUUCGGGCCUCUUGCCAUCGGAUGUGCCCAGAUGGGAUUAGCUAGUAGGUGGGGUAACGGCUCACCUAGGCGACGAUCCCUAGCUGGUCUGAGAGGAUGACCAGCCACACUGGAACUGAGACACGGUCCAGACUCCUACGGGAGGCAGCAGUGGGGAAUAUUGCACAAUGGGCGCAAGCCUGAUGCAGCCAUGCCGCGUGUAUGAAGAAGGCCUUCGGGUUGGAAAGUACUUCCAGCGGGGAGGAAGGGAGUAAAGUUAAUACCUUUGCUCAUUGACGUGACCCGCAGAAGAAGCACCGGCUAACUCCG